CAUUACUAAUCGCUGAGUUUCCGCAAAAAAGCGCGGAAAUCGGGGGAACCAAACGCGUGCCAUGGAGCAGCGAACCGGUGUGAGAGUCGGGGGUCUGCUGCCAGCCGCAGGGGUGAAUCCCGGCUACGGAUGCCAUGGAUCCGGCCGGGUAGAGCGACUCUCACCGCUCGAAUCCGUCAGCUAACCUCGUAAGCGUCGUUUGAGAGAGGAA
rnacentral:sRNA from 1 species